CCUACGGGUGGCAGCAGUGGGGAAUAUUGGACAAUGGGCGCAAGCCUGACCCAGCAACGCCGCGUGAAGGAAGAAGGCUCUCGGGUUGUAAACUUCUUUUAUCGGGGACGAAGCAAGUAACGGUACCUGAUGAAUAAGCCACGGCUACCUACGUGCCAGCAGCCGCGGUAAUACGUAGGGGGCGAGCGUUAUCCGGAUUUACUGGGUGUAAAGGGCGUGUAGGCGGGAAAGCAAGUCAGAUGUGAAAACCAUGGGCUCAACCUGUGGCCUGCAUUUGAAACUGUUUUUCGUGAGUACUGGAGAGGCAGACGGAAUUCCGAGUGUAGCGGUGAAAUGCGUAGAUAUUAGGAGGAACACCAGUGGCGAAGGCGGUCUGCUGGACAGCAACUGACGCUGAGGCGCGAAAGCGUGGGGAGCAAACAGGAUUAGAUACCCCUGUAGUC
rnacentral:rRNA from 1 species